AUUGUUGGUCUUGAUCGACCGAUAAAACACUAUACAACUUUCAGCAACGGAUCUCUUGGCUCUCGCAUCGAUGAAGAACGCAGCGAAAUGCGAUAAGUAAUGUGAAUUGCAGAAUUCAGUGAAUCAUCGAAUCUUUGAACGCAUCUUGCACCCUUUGGUAUUCCGAAGGGUAUGCCUGUUUGAGUGUCGUUGAAUUCUCAAAAGAACCUAGGUUUCGAUCAGGGCUCUUUUGGACUGUGAGGGCUGCUGGUCUCUUUAGAUCAGACUCCCUUUAAAUACAUUAGUGGUUACCGAUCCGCUUCCACUUUGGUGUGAUAGGUCUAUCUACGCUGCUUGGAAUGAUCAGUUGCUAUCCGCUUCUAACCUUGUCUGUCUUGGACAAAGCUUUCAUUGACAAUCGACCUCAAAUCAG
rnacentral:sRNA from 1 species